rnacentral:rRNA from 1 species
UAAAACUUUCAACAACGGAUCUCUUGGUUCUGGCAUCGAUGAAGAACGCAGCGAAAUGCGAUAAGUAAUGUGAAUUGCAGAAUUCAGUGAAUCAUCGAAUCUUUGAACGCACAUUGCGCCCGGUAGUACUCUACCGGGCAUGCCUGUUCGAGCGUCAUUUCAACCCUCAAGCCCUGCUUGGUGUUGGGGCCCUACGGCUGCCGUAGGCCCUGAAAGGAAGUGGCGGGCUCGCUACAACUCCGAGCGUAGUAAUUCAUUAUCUCGCUAGGGAGGUGCGGCGUGCUCCUGCCGUUAAAGACCCCAUCUUUAACCAAGGUUGACCUCGGAUCAGGUAGGAAUACCCGCUGAACUUAAGCAUAUCAAUAAGCGGAGGAAAAGAAACCAACAGGGAUUGCCCUAGUAACGGCGAGUGAAGCGGCAACAGCUCAAAUUUGAAAUCUGGCUUCGGCCCGAGUUGUAAUUUGUAGAGGAUGCUUUUGGUGAGGUGCCUUCUGAGUUCCCUGGAACGGGACGCCAGAGAGGGUGAGAGCCCCGUAUAGUCGGCCACCGAUCCUCUGUAAAGCUCCUUCGACGAGUCGAGUAGUUUGGGAAUGCUGCUCAAAAUGGGAGGUAUAUCUCUUCUAAAGCUAAAUAUAGGCCAGAGACCGAUAGCGCACAAGUAGAGUGAUCGAAAGAUGAAAAGCACUUUGAAAAGAGGGUUAAAUAGCACGUGAAAUUGUUGAAAGGGAAGCGCUUGUGACCAGACUUGUGCCGGG